CUUGCAGAUACUGGUCCUUCACCCACGUUGUUUAGAUGACUACCAUGCUUUCAAUAGCCUUAUAUAAGAAAAGUAUGAUUCUACAUCUAAGCCAUGACCACAAGCGUCCAAGGAGGAAGAUGAAAACCAUACAGUGCCAGCAAAGAGACAUGUAGUGUGGAACAAAGCUGCCACAGACAUUACAACUACAAUUGACCCUCACAUUUCUUACCUACAUGAAUCAGGAAAAAUAACUGAUGGCAGAUCACAGUAUGGCUGAAGAGAAAUGCCCAGAACUCAUAAAGAAGAUUCAAAGAAACAAGCAAGAACACUGGAAAUCAGCAGAAGAGACAGCAGAAUCUGGAUAAGACCUACAACCCUGGUACAAGAGCAUAGUAAGAGAAAAAAUACCCUAGUGUCCACCAUGGCAGCUCCCAACUUGGGGAAAUCUCCUUGCAUGUUAAGAGUACAGAAGAGUCAAAGCAAUUUAUAUGAGCACAGACACUGGCAAUUCUAGUAAGUGGAAGGUUCACAGUCCUCACCAACUUUUAAGUAAAUUGACCUAAAAUCUAUAGAAGUCUUUGAAAAAAGAGUUUAUAUUAUGUUCCAGUAAACAUUCAGGGCUAUAGUCAGGAACUGUCUUAAGAAGGAAUGUAGCUAUUGAAUAAAUUGUGUAUGCCCUCGGGUCAGAAAAUGCUAUACAUUUCCAUCUCUGGGAUCCCACAGACAUUGUACUGCUCUGGCUGUGUGAAUAGGAGAGUGAUUCUGACUCAAGUUCAGUGGGAACCUACACUGUAGAGGAUGGGUGGUAUAUAACACAGAGGGAGAUGGCUGGCAUCAUCAUUGAAAACCAAGGAAUCAGGGAACUUUCCCUUUGUGACUAAGGAUGUAGUCAGUUUUUUAGACUCACACCACUCCCAGGACUGAAGGCAGAUACACAUGCAGUUUCUACUACCGUAGAUACCUGUGCCUGACUCUUGACCCCCAAAUAUCUAUAGCUGGUGACAAAGAUAGCUUUGCACAACUUGAAAUAAGAGCUUACUCCAGGGAUGGUAUGACCAUAG